UGAGAGUCCCUCCUAAGACUUGGAUGUGUCCUCAUUAGACAGGGACACCCGUUAAUAUAUUUUAUGGACCUAGGGUUUUAUUGUUUUGUUUUGUUUCGUUUCGGAAACAGGCUGUAUAAUUCCAUUCCUGGAGCCCGAUCUGCAUUUUAGUAUGUACAUUUUCACCCUUCUGGGAACGGAGUAGCCAAGAUUCACAAAUGCUUGUGGUUGAGCAAAACGACAAAAUUCAGUGGGCCUACAAAAGUGUGAAGUGGGUAGUAACUUCUCAUGCAAGACGGUUCAAGAGUCUGGUGGUCACUGAAAAAAUGUUUGACAUCCCCUGUAUUAGGCAGGAAAGCAGCAGGUAGCUGAUGAUGCACACUGCAACCUACAGAGAGUUUAUAACACAAAGGGAAAACACUGAUGCCUUUUAUUGCCAUUGCAAGCAUUCCUGUAAAAUAAACUGCUGCACCAAAGACCUGUGAUAAGACAUUGUUUCAUAUUCUGUUUCUCACAAACAGCAUCAUCUCUGUACAUUUAAAAUCUCAUGGUUAGGCAUGGACUUGAGCAGAGUUUUAAUGAUCUUUCUGCCAUUUUGAUGGUCUUCAAUAGCCCUCUGUACAACCCAAGCCAUCUCAAAUGGAUGUGUCAGAUUCCUUCACAGGGUUAAGCUUUGCAAGAUUCAAUGCAGUUUACAAAAUUAUUAGUUUUGUCUUUUUCUGAAGAACACAUGGAAGGAAGAGCAUACCUGCUCUGGACUGUCAGAACACUCAUCCCAGUGUUUAGCAGAGUAUCACAUUGACUUUAGUGUCAGAUUACAGUAGAGCUUAAUAAGAUGGGAGUAUAA